rnacentral:lncRNA from 10 species
UCUCACAUUUGUUCUCAGCAGCCCCUAGUCAUCCAAAGUAUGACACUGUUCCUGUCAGUGCUCUGAGUCACAUGAACAGAAAUCAGUCCUUUGGUCAGCCCCACUAUAAGCCAGAACAUGGGACAUACAUUCCACUCUACUCUUUCCCUCUUGAGAAGGAAGGUGCAAGUGGGAGGUAUCUCCAGAUUGUGCUGCACUGUGCUUGGUACUGGGAGAACCUAUGAUGCCAACUGUGGGGGGAAUAAAGUUGCUUAGCAACGUGGAAAUGGGAGAAGCUAUAAGGCUUCCCAGUGUUCACGCAAUCGUCCCUAUUUCUGUGCCUCUUCUACCUUUCAUCCCAGAGGUUAACUGGUGCUGUGAAUUCUGAAAUGUAAGUAAGUUUAUCAGUUCCUCCAUUGAUUUAGAAUUGGGGUUUCCUGGGUCUACCAAGUUAGUUAACACCGUCUAUCUGCUUUCCAAUUCCCCAAGUUCUGGUUGUUUCCUCUAUUUUCUCCAACUUGUGGGUUUUUGUGUGAAUGCAUCUGUUGUAGUAGCCAUAGGGAUGUAUCAUUCAGAUCUCCCUUCAAAAGAAUCUGACAUGAGGAGUGUAGUUGGUACUUUCAGAUCCAUCAAGGCAUUUGUGCGAAGGCCACGCUCCCCUUGGUCUCCUCCCAGAAACUGACUUGAGGAAGUCAGAGAAACAAAGCCAGGCUAUUUCUGCCCAAUUCUGAACUCUACUAAAAGGAAUCCUUGCUUGGGAACUCUCCAUUGGCCUGACCAAGACUUCAUCUUAGAGUUGCACUGCAGUCUAAGUUUUUGCUAAUCAAUCUUCAUUUUCUCUUUUUACAGGUGUCAGACCCACACUGCAGUCUGAAGGCUCUCUCGACCUACGCUUGCUCCAUCUCCCGUUUAUCCUCCAUUUAUGUUUCCUCUAAUAAAUUCUUGCACAUCUAACUUUGUCAUGUCAUCUGCUUCUCUGAGGACUCAAAUUAUCACCUGGGAUUUUGGAAAGAAGUUUUAUUAGAUGUCUAGUCCACUG